UACGUAGGGUGCGAGCGUUAAUCGGAAUUACUGGGCGUAAAGGGCUCGUAGGCGGCCAACUAAGUCGGAUGUGAAAUCCCCAGGCUUAACCUGGGAACUGCAUCCGAUACUGGAUGGCUUGAAUCCGGGAGAGGGAUGCAGAAUUCCAGGUGUAGCGGUGAAAUGCGUAGAUAUCUGGAGGAAUACCGGUGGCGAAGGCGGCAUCCUGGACCGGCAUUGACGCUGAUGAGCGAAAGCUAGGGGAGCAAACGGGG
rnacentral:rRNA from 1 species